rnacentral:rRNA from 1 species
CCUACGGGAGGCAGCAGUGGGGAAUAUUGCGCAAUGGGGGAAACCCUGACGCAGCAACGCCGCGUGAGUGAGGAAGUAUCUCGGUAUGUAAAGCUCUAUCAGCGGGGAAGAAAGAGGACGGUACCCGACUAAGAAGCCCCGGCUAACUACGUGCCAGCAGCCGCGGUAAUACGUAGGGGGCGAGCGUUAUCCGGAUUUACUGGGUGUAAAGGGAGCGUAGACGGCGUCGCAAGUCUGAAGUGAAAGCCCGUGGCUCAACCGCGGAACCGCUUUGGAAACUGUGAGGCUGGAGUGCUGGAGAGGUAAGCGGAAUUCCUGGUGUAGCGGUGAAAUGCGUAGAUAUCAGGAGGAACACCGGUGGCGAAGGCGGCUUACUGGACAGUGACUGACGUUGAGGCUCGAAAGCGUGGGGAGCGAACAGGAUUAGAUACCCCAGUA